rnacentral:rRNA from 1 species
UACAGAGGGUGCGAGCGUUAAUCGGAGUUACUGGGCGUAAAGGGCGCGUAGGCGGUUAUUUAAGUGAGAUGUGAAAGCCCUGGGCUUAACCUAGGAACUGCAUCUCAUACUGGAUAGCUAGAGUAUUGUAGAGGGUAGUGGAAUUUCCGGUGUAGCGGUGAAAUGCGUAGAGAUCGGAAGGAACACCAGUGGCGAAGGCGGCUACCUGGACAAAUACUGACGAUGAGGCGCGAAAGCGUGGGGAGCAAACAGG